GCUUGUUUCAGCAGUGCAUAUACUAAAAUUGUAAUGAUACAGAGACAAUUAGCAUGGCCCCUGUGCAAGGAUGACACAAAAAAAAAAAAAGAAAAAAAAACACUUU
rnacentral:snRNA from 1 species